GAUGAACGCUGGCGGCGUGCCUAAUACAUGCAAGUCGAGCGAACAGACGAGGAGCUCGCUCCUCUGACGUUAGCGGCGGACGGGUGAGUAACACGUGGAUAACCUACCUAUAAGACUGGGAUAACUUCGGGAAACCGGAGCUAAUACCGGAUAAUAUAUUGAACCGCAUGGUUCAAUAGUGAAAGACGGUUUUGCUGUCACUUAUAGAUGGAUCCGCGCCGCAUUAGCUAGUUGGUAAGGUAACGGCUUACCAAGGCAACGAUGCGUAGCCGACCUGAGAGGGUGAUCGGCCACACUGGAACUGAGACACGGUCCAGACUCCUACGGGAGGCAGCAGUAGGGAAUCUUCCGCAAUGGGCGAAAGCCUGACGGAGCAACGCCGCGUGAGUGAUGAAGGUCUUCGGAUCGCAAAACUCUGUUAUUAGGGAAGAACAAAUGUGUAAGUAACUAUGCACGUCUUGACGGUACCUAAUCAGAAAGCCACGGCUAACUACGUG
rnacentral:rRNA from 1 species